CGUUUGUUGCCUCCACUUCCACUCGGUGUUUGCCGCUGAGAGCGAGACUUCUGUUCCACCUUUCGAAAGCUAUAGGCUGGUCACGUGAUCCAUUGAGGGAGCUACGUCACGCAGGUUGUGAAACAGUUUUUCAGCAUUUUGUAAUCACGUAAAGCCAAAAGGUCAGUCUUGGAUCGAGCAGCCCAUUUAGAAAUGCGACGUGCUCGGUUAUCGCCAUAAUAAAGAACGUCGUAGGCACAAUACAUUAACGUAAUUUUUUCUCUUUUUAUUAUUUAUUUUUUACCUGAUUUACGUCAUUUUACAAUUUUUAAUUUUAGUUUUUUUUAUUGCCAUCUUUCAGGCACUCCUGUAAUGCAUUGCCAGAUCCACGUACCAAAUUCAAAUUGAAAUAUUUUGAAGGAAAUUGUACGCAUUAUUCAUACAGUGCGUCAUUUUCACUCAUUAUUGAACGAAACGUUCAAAAUCAUUAUUCACAAGGCAAUAAACCGAUGUAAUCGAAUUAAUCUUUUGACUGAAUUUUCGAGGAGCAUCUCUGAAUCUCAAAGAAAUAGUAACAUUUUUAUGACUACACGAUUGGGGCUCUCAAUGAGCUCCAGUAAUAAAAAAUACAAAAACGUUACUAUCUACAUUGAGGGAAAUAACGAGUGAAAAUCAAUAAAAUCCUGAAAUGUAUUAUUUUUCCAACUGAGGAAAGUCGUGUCUUUGAGAGGAACCGCAAAGAAUUGACAAACUCGUGAGGCCUUCCUUUAUCGUGCUGAUGAGAUUAUUCCUGUAUUUUUAAUAGAAAACGUAAGAAAAAAUUAAUUUACUAUAUUAUUAUGAUAAUGAAUUGAGUUUACAGACAUAGAAUAUAUGCAUAAAUGAACUAAAGGAAAAAUGAAGGUUUUUCAAAAUCGCUAUUAUUACGCUUUCGAUUUUGUCCUCAAAUUUGCGGAAAAUGAAAAAAUUGGAAAUUUUUUUCUAAUUGAAAUAUCCAGUAAAUCAUUGAACCAUAGAUUUGCCAUUUGCCAAAUUUUAUCCAUAUUCUUCAUUAUAUUUUCUAAAAAUAAUUCAAGGAACCUUUUAUAAUUCAUAGAACAAUCACUGAUUAUGUAUUUUAAAAUGUCAAAUGUUUAAAAUUUUUCAACUGACUGAAUUUUAAGAAAAUAGUGACAAAUUCCGGAUAUAAAAAAAGUUUCCAAAGCUCAUUGUCAUCCAAAGUUUUACUUCAUCGAUUGAGGACUCCAUUCCAUUUAAGCUUCUCGUGAUCAAUAAAAAAAUCAAAAUGUACUCUUCGUCCAUUAGUUUUUCAUUUAAAAACCGCAAGAAUAAACUUACCAGCACGAUAGGUGAAGGUUUCAGUCCUUAAGACUCCAGUGCGGCUUCCCUUAAUACUGAAAACAAAAUUCAAUCUACUACAUGUAGCGGAUGAUCCUGAAAGGACAUACAAUAAAGUUUCCAGUUUAUAAACCUUAACAUCAUUUGCUAGCGUACUCCAGAAUAUUAUUUAACAAUGGCAUUCAGUAAUGUUUUCACACUGCUCUUUAUUUUCAUUUCUAUAUCUAUUUUUACAGUCUGAUAGUUUAUAAAGGAUCAGUUUGAAAACCAACCCCAUAAGAACUCAUCUAUAGAAAGAUAUUGCUUUACUUAAUUUCGUGAACGCAAGUGCAAACUAAUUUGUCAUAAUUACUAUAAAUUUUCAUUUCAUGUUUCUCCAUUAGUUAAAAAAAAAAAUAAAAAAUUAGAUCAGCUAUGACAAAAUGGAUUUUUUUUAAUGGGUAAUGCGAAUGUCCUCCUACCUAUCUCUGGGACAGUAGCUGAACAGAAGACUAAAUUAUAUGUUCAAAGCAAUGUUCUUUUUUU